CUGUGUUCCGUUUUUACUGGCAGUACUGAAAAUUUAUAGUUCACGUCACAUAUACUAUACAUUUUCAGUACUGGCAGUUAAUAUCGGAACACAGCCAAGAAAUCAUCCCGGAUGCUGCCUGGACAGACCUUUGACUAUGUAAAUAUAUAGUCAAAGGGAUAGACUCGCUUCUUGCGACGAGGUUCGGAUAAAGAAAGAGAACGACCCGCUGCAAAGUGUGUUCGCGGCGGCAGCGGGAUGAGGAGAACCCAAGGUGGAAGAGAUAGCAUGUGUACACUUAUUUAGAGAGUUCAGGAACAGAAAACAAACGGCAUGAUUUCAUGUGCGAGGCCCUGAAGAAGAAGAAGCCAUUAUAAACGAGUCGUUGGUUGGCCGUAUACCACAUAUCCUGUAUUCCCAUAAGAAAUACCUUGGUUACGUAUAUAUACAAUAAGAUAUAAUUAUACAAUAACGUUGAGAAGAAGAAGGAGCCAGAGAAGAAGAUCGGUAUCGCUCAAUAUCGGUAUUAAGAUAUGGCGACAACACCCGAAUCAUUUGUGGACGAAAGAGUAAG